rnacentral:misc_RNA from 1 species
UGGCUCUCGCAUNGAUGAAGAACGCAGCGAAAUGCGAUAAGUAAUGUGAAUUGCAGAAUUCAGUGAAUCAUCGAAUCUUUGAACGCACCUUGCGCCCAUUGGUAUUCCGAUGGGCAUGCCUGUUUGAGUGUCUUGAAAUCAUCAAGCCUGUUCGGUUUCACCGCCGGUCGUGGCUUGGACUUGGGGGCCUAUUGCCGCUUCGCCGCGGCUCCCCUUAAAUGCAUCGGUUUCGGGUCUCUGUGGGAGUCACCCCUUGGGCGUUGUAUAACCCUCGCCGUCUGGGAACUCCUCGCGACGUCCGCGUCGUCGAAGGGCCUUGAAGGAACCCCGACCUGCCGUAGAGUGGCGGUCAAUGUUAAUUCGAGAUCUGACCUCAAAUCAGGUAGGACUACCCGCUGA